rnacentral:rRNA from 1 species
AGGGCACCACCAGGAGUGGAGCCUGCGGCUUAAUUUGACUCAACACGGGGAAACUCACCCGGCCCGGACACUGGAAGGAUUGACAGAUUGAGAGCUCUUUCUUGAUUCAGUGGGUGGUGGUGCAUGGCCGUUCUUAGUUGGUGGAGUGAUUUGUCUGGUUAAUUCCGAUAACGAACGAGACUCUAGCCUACUAAAUAGACUGCUCAACUUUAUAGCUGCAUCACCUUGCAGUUGCUUCGGUGGCUGUAAGGCUGUGGUGACGUUGGCAGUGCUUCUUAGAGGGACAGGCGGCGGUUCAGCCGCACGAAACAGAGCAAUAACAGGUCUGUGAUGCCCUUAGAUGUCCAGGGCCGCACGCGCGCUACACUGAAGUGAUCAGCGUGCAAUUAACGUUUCCUACUCCGUCAGGAGUGGGUAACCCGUUGAACCUUCUUCGUGAUUGGGAUAGGGGAUUGUAAUUAUUCCCCUUGAACGAGGAAUUCCCAGUAAGCGCAAGUCAUAAGCUUGCGUUGAUUACGU